CUCCCUCGCACGGUCACGGUACCGCAUGGCUGCAGGCGAGCGGCGAGUUGCAGACUGGCCUCCUGACUUCAAAUUCUUUGAAACCCACAUAAGUUCAGGUUAACAUUCCCGCCUUCUGUCCGGCUUCUCUUUACCCCAGCCACUAACAAUGUCAAAACAGGUGGAAAUCGACCCCAAACAUGGAGGAAGAGUAACAAACGUUAACGUCGUCUGAGGCAACGACGAAGGCGAAGGCGGCAAGAUGGGAAAGUAAACCAAGGAUGGGGUGGACGAGGCCGAAUGCAGCCCCGGAGGGGAGAUGCUGGGGCCGAUAGUGAAAGCACGCAGCGCUGAAUAAUCUGGACAUUUCUCUUGCUCUGUGUGCCGCUGCCGUCCCGAGCGGGCCCCAGCGGGUCCUACUACUGCUACUGCACCCUCCCGGAGGACCCCCCCCCCCAUCCCUCUCUUCAACGCCGGCCCCCGGAGGCGCGGCGCCACUGGGUCACAAGGUGUGGGCACGACGGUGCUCAAGUAGCUCACUAUAAACUGCACCAUAAAAGCGAGAGCGGGAAUACGACCCCCUCUGCGUCGUGCCAUCCAAUAUAAGGUGCGAUGCUUGCGAUAUCACAAGCCGACGCGUCACUGAGACACACAGUGUACUGUUGCGUCCUGCAGGCUGCCGUGAUCUUUGUAGAGUUUCGUGUACUGCACAAGAAAAAAAAACAA